CUAAGUCCACAACACAAUCUUCUUGACAAGGUCUCUUCCUCUUGCUCUUCUUCCUGCUUCCAUUUGACACCCAGGAAGACACUACUGCAGGAGAAGCAAUUCUGGAUCAAUGCUUGGGCUCCAUAUUGGGAGGCCAUUUACAGCUCACCUAUCUCAAUGAACACCUUCAGGAAUAAAGGAAUACAUAUGCAAGUGAUCAUAUCCAUGGAGCUCCAAACUUAGACUUCUGCAUGAUCACAGCAAUAUAAACAAAGACAAUGUCUAUAUGACUCUAAGAAG